GGUUGCUAUGGAGUUUCGCGCAUUUGCCGUGUCGUGGCUCGUUGCUAUGGAGCACGGUCCACAGCGAACUGCAGUGCCGACAAUUAAACACACGGUGGCAGCAGCGAGCACGGUCCCCAGCGAACUGCAGUGCCAACAAUUAAACACAGGGUGGCAGCAGGGAGCACGGUCCCCAGGGAGCUGCAGUGCCUGCAAUUAAACACAGGGUGGCAGCAGGGAGCACGGUCCCCAGGGAGCUGCAGUGCCGACAAUUAAACACAGGGUGGCAGCAGGGAGCACGGUCCCCAGGGAGCUGCAGUGCCGGCAGUUAAGCACAGGGUGGCAGCAGCGAGCACGGUCCCCAGGGAGUUGCAGUGCCGGCAGUUAAGCACAGGGUGGCAGCAGUGAGCGCUGCGCGCAUGCGUUGGGUCGCUGUGCGGGGGGCGGAGCUGGCGCAUGCGUCCUGCUCUGCCGCCUCGUUACGCAUGCGGGGCCGGGGCCGUGCUGAGAGGCCUGCGGGGGGAAGGCUGCGGCGGCAGCGGCGUGGAGCGGCAGCGGGGCCGGGCCGGGCCGAGGAGGGCUUUGCAGUGCCGGGAGGUGAACUGCUUUGCCCCAGCCCAGCUGCAGAUCUGCACUCAGCCUCAGCCCCAAGCCCUGGCAGGGUGGGAUGCUUUGGUACCAGGCCGUGGAGCUGUUUGAAAUGCAAUUGCUGCUUGCAGCUGGUUCAGAAAUGGAUUUCCUGUGGCUGUGGGGGCAGAAAUGUCUCUGUGGUGAGUUGGUGCCAAGUGCCAGCCUUGCUUAAAGCCUUCUCUUAGGCCUUUCA